AGCAGCCGCGGUAAUUCCAGCUCCAAUAGCGUAUAUUAAAGUUGUUGCAGUUAAAAAGCUCGUAGUUGAAUUUCGGGGUUAGUAGGUUGGUCAUGCCUCUGGUAUGUACUGGUCUCACUGAUUCCUCCUUCCUGAUGAACCUUAAUGCCAUUAAUUUGGUGUUUUGGGGAAUUUGGACUGUUACUUUGAAAAAAUUAGAGUGUUUAAAGCAAGCUAACGCUUGAAUACAUUAGCAUGGAAUAAUGAAAUAGGACGUUCGAUCCUAUUUUGUUGGUUUCUAGGAUUGACGUAAUGAUUAAUAGGGAUAGUUGGGGGCAUUAGUAUUCAAUUGUCAGAGGUGAAAUUCUUGGAUUUAUUGAAGACUAACUACUGCGAAAGCAUUUGCCAAGGAUGUUUUCAUUAAUCAAGAGCGAAAGUUAGGGGAUCGAAGACGAUCAGAUACCGUCGUAGUCUUAACCAUAAACUAUGCCGACUAGGGAUCGGAUGAUGUUAAUUUUUUUAAUGACUCAUUCGGCGCCUU
rnacentral:rRNA from 1 species